rnacentral:misc_RNA from 1 species
GCAAACUUGGUCAUUUAGAGGAAGUAAAAGUUGUAACAAGGUUUCCGUAGGUGAACCUGCGGAAGGAUCAUUAACGAGUCCAGGGGGGUGGGGGUAGGGUGGAGAGGGGGUUGGAGGAGGAUGGGAUGGGGGGGUGGUAUAGUAUGUAUGUAUGUAUAGCUCCGCCUGUUGUCUGUCUGAUAAGCUCGCUCGCUUGCUCGGCCAGCCGGCACGCCCGACAUUUGGUCGGUGGCAAUGGUAUGUAUGUAUGGUAUGUAUGUAUGUUGCUGCUGAUGAGAGAUGUGAUAAAAGUGGAAAUGACAAAAUGUGAAUGAAUGAAUAAUAGAAAACUUUUGACAAUGGAUCUCUAGGCUCUUGCAUCGAUGAAGAACGCAGC